GUGCCAGCCGCCGCGGUAAUACAUAGGGGUCAAGCGUUGUCCGGAUUUAUUGGGCGUAAAGAGCUCGUAGGCGGUUCAACAAGUCGGUCGUAAAAGUUUAGGGCUCAACCCUAAAAUGUCGAUCGAUACUGUUGUGACUAGGAUGCGGUAGAGGUGAAUGGAAUUCCGAGUAUAGUGGUGAAAUGCGUAGAUAUUCGGAGGAACACCAAUUGCGAAGGCAGCUCACUGGGCCGCUAUCGACGCUGAGGAGCGAAAGCUAGGGGAGCAAACAGGAUUAGAUA
rnacentral:rRNA from 1 species